rnacentral:rRNA from 1 species
CAGGGUGACAGCCCCGUACACAAAAAUGCACAUACUGUGAGCUCGAUGAGUAGGGCGGGACACGUGGUAUCCUGUCUGAAUAUGGGGGGACCAUCCUCCAAGGCUAAAUACUCCUGACUGACCGAUAGUGAACCAGUACCGUGAGGGAAAGGCGAAAAGAACCCCGGCGAGGGGAGUGAAAAAGAACCUGAAACCGUGUACGUACAAGCAGUGGGAGCCUCUUAAUGGGGUGACUGCGUACCUUUUGUAUAAUGGGUCAGCGACUUAUAUUCUGUAGCAAGGUUAACCGAAUAGGGGAGCCGAAGGGAAACCGAGUCUUAACUGGGCGUUAAGUUGCAGGGUAUAGACCCGAAACCCGGUGAUCUAGCCAUGGGCAGGUUGAAGGUUGGGUAACACUAACUGGAGGACCGAACCGACUAAUGUUGAAAAAUUAGCGGAUGACUUGUGGCUGGGGGUGAAAGGCCAAUCAAACCGGGAGAUAGCUGGUUCUCCCCGAAAGCUAUUUAGGUAGCGCCUCGUGAAUUCAUCUCCGGGGGUAGAGCACUGUUUCGGCAAGGGGGUCAUCCCGACUUACCAACCCGAUGCAAACUGCGAAUACCGGAGAAUGUUAUCACGGGAGACACACGGCGGGUGCUAACGUCCGUCGUGAAGAGGGAAACAACCCAGACCGCCAGCUAAGGUCCCAAAGUCAUGGUUAAGUGGGAAACGAUGUGGGAAGGCCCAGACAGCCAGGAUGUUGGCUUAGAAGCAGCCAUCAUUUAAAGAAAGCGUAAUAGCUCACUGGUCGAGUCGGCCUGCGCGGAAGAUGUAACGGGGCUAAACCAUGCACCGAAGCUGCGGCAGCGACACUAUGUGUUGUUGGGUAGGGGAGCG